CUACAUACCACUAACACUCUCUUCUCACACUACACUACAUACCACUAACACUGUCUUCCCACACUACAUAUCAGUAACACUGUCUUCCCACAAUACAUAUCAGUAACACUGUCUUCCCACACUACAUUACAUACCACUAACACUGUCUUCCCACAUUAACCUACAUAUCACUAACACUGUCUUCCCACAUUACACUACAUACCACAAACACUGUCUUCCCACAUUACACUACAUACCACUAACACUGUCUUCCCACACUACACUACAUACAACUUACACUGUCUUCCCACACUACAUACCACUAACACUGUCUUCCCACAUUACACUACAUACCACUAACACUGUCUUCCCACAUUACACUACAUACCACGAACACUGUCUUCCCACAUUACACUAUAUAUCACUAACACUGUCUUCCCACACUACAUACCACUAACACUGUCUUCACACAUUACACUACAUUCCACUUACACUGUCUUCCCACACUACAUACCACUAACACUGGCUUCCCACACUACAUACCACUAACACUGUCUUCCCACAUUACACUACAUACCACUAACACUCUCUUCUCACACUACACUACAUACCACUAACACUGUCUUCCCACACUACAUAUCACUAACACUGUCUUCCCACACUACAUAUCACUGACACUGUCUUCCCAGAUUUCACUACAUACCACUAACACUGUCUUCCCACACUACACUACAUACCACUAACACUGUCUUCCCACACUACACUACACUACAUACCACUAACACUGUCUUCCCACACUACACUACACUACAUAUCACUAACACUGUCUUCCCACACUACAUAUCACUGACACUGUCUUCCCAGAUUUCACUACAUACCACUAACACUGUUUUCCCACACUACAUAUCACUGACACUGUCUUCCCACACUACACUACAUACCACUAACACUGUCUUCCCACAUUACAUACCACUAACACUGUCUUCCCACACUACAUAUCACUGACACUGUCUUCCCACACUACACUACAUACCACUAACACUGUCUUCCCACAUUACAUCCCACUAACACUGUCUUCCCACACUACAUACCACUAACACUGUCUUCCCACAAUACACUACAUACCACUAACACUGUCUUCCCACAUUACACUACAUACCACUAACACUGUCUUCCCACAUUACAUACCACUAACACUGUCUUCCCACACUACAUAUCACUAACACUGUCUUCCCACAUUACACUACAUACCACUAACACUCAAUUCCAACAAUACACUUCAUACCACUAACACUGUCUUCCCACAUUACGACUACAUACCACUAACACUCUUUUCCCACAAUACACUUCAAACCACUAACACUGUCUUCCCACACUACUUACCACUAACAUUGUCUUCCCACACUACAUAUCAGUAACACUGUCUUCCCACAUUACACUACAUACCACUAACACUGUCUUCCCACACUACACUACAUACCACUAACACUGUCUUCCCACACUACAUAUCACUGACACUGUCUUCCCACACUACACUACAUACCAAUAA
rnacentral:lncRNA from 1 species